rnacentral:rRNA from 1 species
CCUACGGGAGGCAGCAGUGAGGAAUAUUGGUCAAUGGCCGUAAGGCUGAACCAGCCAAGUAGCGUGAGGGAAGACUGCCCUAUGGGUUGUAAACCUCUUUUAUGCGGGGAGAAAGGUGUCCACGUGGGGGUGGUUGCAGGUACCGCAUGAAUAAGGACCGGCUAAUUCCGUGCCAGCAGCCGCGGUAAUACGGAAGGUCCGGGCUUUAUCCGGAUUGAUUGGGUUUAAAGGGAGCGUAGGCCGGUCUUUAAGCGUGCCGUGAAAUUUUGUGGCUCAACCAUGAGAGUGCGGCGCGAACUGGCGCCCUUGAGUGCGCGGCAGGCAGGCGGACUUCGUGGUGUCGCGG